UACGGGGGGGGUAAGCGUUGUCCGGAAUUACUGGGCGUAAAGGGCUCGUAGGCGGCCAACUAAGUCAGACGUGAAAUCCCUCAGCUUAACUGGGGAACUGCGUCUGAUACUGGAUGGCUUGGAUUCGGGAGAGGAAUGCGGAAUUCCAGGUGUAGCGGUGAAAUGCGUAGAUAUCUGGAGGAACACCGGUGGCGAAGGCGGCAUUCUGGACCGACAUUGACGCUGAGGAGCGAAAGCCAGGGGAGCAAACGGG
rnacentral:rRNA from 1 species